rnacentral:tRNA from 1 species
ACUCCUGUAGCUCAGUUGGUAGAGCAUGGUGUUUGCAACGCCAGGGUUGUGGGUUCGAUUCCCACGGGGGGCC